rnacentral:lncRNA from 1 species
CCAGGGGCCUCGAAGGCUCGAAUACAAAUGGUCGAAGACACGAGUCAACGGAAGCAAUAAUAUCUAAGUACAGACACAAUGUUAAUCAAGUUUGCCUUAAGAAGGCUAGCACAAAAGUAGCAACGAUCGAAAAGGCAAGGCCUCCUGCAUGGGACCUCCUAACUACUCCUCGAAGUCGAACUCCAUGUAGAAUCUUCCUCGAGAUCCUCUGGCUCCUGGACUCCAUCAUAUGAUCGCAGUAACAAGGAAAAGAGGAAAAAGAAGUAGGAAAGCAACCGUGAGUACUCAUCUGAAGUACUCGCAAGCAAGGAUCUACACUACAUAUACACUGAUAUCAAUGAAAUGGGUAGUAUCUGUGGACUGAACUGCAGAAUGCCAGAAUAAAAGGGGGAUAGCUAGUCCUAUCGAAGACUACACUUCUGGCAGCCUCCGUAUUGAAGCAUAUAGGAGAAAGUAGAUGGUAAGUUCACCCAGUAUCAUCGCAUAGCAUAAUCCUACCCGGUGAUCCUUCCCUUGUCGCCCUGUGAGAGAGCGAUCACCGGUUGUAUCUGGCACUUGGAAGGGUGUGUUUUAUUAAGUAUCCGGUUCUAGUUGUCAUAAGGUCAAGGUACAACUCUGGGUCGUCCUUUUACCGAGGGACACGGCUAUUCGAAUAGAUCAAAUUCCCUGCAGGGGUGCACCACAUUUCCCAACACGCUCGAUCCCCUUUGUCCAGGCACACUUUUUUGGGUCAUGCCCGGCCUCGGAAGAUUGACACAUCGCAGCCCUACCUAGGCACAACAGAGAGGUCAGCACGCCAGUUUAAAUCCUAUGGCGCAGGGGUCUAGGCCCAUCGCCCAUUGCACACCUGCACGUUGCGUACGCGGCCGGUGAGCAGACCUAGCUUCCCUAAUACAAGAGCAGGCGUUCCAGUCCAAUUCGGCGCGCGCCGCUCAAUCACUGACGUCAAGAACGCUUCGGCUGAUACCACGACGUCGAGUGCCCAUAAUUGUUCCCUCGUAGUUGGUUAGUGCGUAUAGGCCAGUGGCCAGACUCAGAUCAAAUACCAAGAUCUCGUUAAGCCUGUUAUUUUAAAGUAGCCGCGGACGCCGACCAGGGCCAGGCCCACCUCUCUCCCAGGUGGUCUCAACCUGUCAUGUCGCUCCGCCACAAAGUAGUAGUCAGGGACUGUCAGGAACCCAGGCCCACCUCUACCGGGAUGGAGCCACCUGUCCUUUCAGCCCCCACAUCAGAAUCACUUGCGGGUACUCUACGAGCCGACCCGACUUUAGUCACCACAUAUAUCAUAUAAUGUAUACAAAUAUAUACCCGUGAUCACCCCCCGAGUGAUCACGACUCGGUAGUAUAGCAUGGCAGACAGACAAGAAUGUAGGGCCACUGAUGAAAUACUAGCAUCCUAUACUAAGCAUUUAGGAUUGCAGGUAAAGGUAACAACAGUAGUAGCAAGGACAGGCUAUGCAUCAGGAUAGGAUAAACGGAAAGCAGUAACAUGCUACACUACUCUAAUGCAAGCAGUAGAGAGAAGAAUAGGCGAUAUUUGAUGAUCAAGGGGGGGGGGGUUGCCUGGUAGCUCUGCAGAUGAAAGGAAUCUUCGAAAGCGUAGUCGUAGUCGAAGACCGAAGCAUCAACGGUCUCAGGGUCUAUCGCAGUAUCGGGAUCUACCGAAAAGAAGCAGCGAAGGGGAAACAAAUAAAUAACAGAGCAACAAAACAUCAUAAAGCAAGACAUCACAAUACGCAGCGUCAGAGGUGACCUACCGCAGUACUAGGUGAUACCGGCGAAUGGGGAAAACAUCCGAGAAAGUAUUCCCGGUGUUAGGCAUUUCCGGACAGAUGAAACGGAGGGGGACGAUUCCAUGUUCGCUAUGAAAGAGGCACGUGACAGAUGAACGGAGGGCAUAUUCAGAACUGUCGCGUUUUUCUCAGCAACUUUCAUGUAGAAAGUUUUCCGAUCCGGUACACGGUUGAAUUCCUAUGAAUUUCCGAAGUUUUUAGAAAAUCUAUGGAAUUCUGCUAAGUCUGAGAAGCCCUCAGUUUUAAACACCACUUAGCCGUUUUCCGGAGCCUAUUGCUAUUGAUCUGUACAUCCUCUAAUUUUGUGCCUUAUAUCAAUUGUGAGCAUUUUGCUGCGAUCUACAUGUUAGUAUCACUUUUAUCCAUAUUAGAGCCCAUUAGCUUGAUCAUCAACAGCUCAAAAGUAGUCAUGAAAAUAAAUUUGUUUUCAGUCUUUCACUUAACAGAACUUAGACUUUUGUCAUUUUCAUAGCAUUUAAACCUCACACCUUUUGAAAUUAGUCCAAUGAAAUGUUUUGAACCUUGUCAAGUGUACUACAUAUCCGUAUAAUUUUUACCCAUGUUGGGAAAAGUUUGGUUGUAGUUUUGCUGCUGUAUAAAUUGGCAUGCAAUGGAGAUUUGCAAAAGCUAGCUCGCGCUACAGUGCACACACACUCACGCACACACCACGCUGCACAACACCACGGCCAUGGCCAGUAGCGACAGUAGUGCAGAGCAUCAGGGGCAGCGGCUAGGCAGCAGUAGAAAGCAGCAACGGCAGUGGGCGGUGGCUGGCGCGGUGUGGCGCUGGCAGGGGCAGGCACGACACGCAGGGGCGGUCGGGAGCAGCACCCGGGGGGAGCGGUUGCAUCAGCGGGAGCUCCGUCGGGCGAGCCGAAGGCAGCGGCGAGGCGCGGUGGCUGCGGCACGGGGCAGCGAUUGCAGCGAAGGUGUGGGCGAGCACGGCGAGUGCUUACGCGGGGUAAGGCAGGGCGCGGCCGGGGGCUUGCAGGCACGGACCUAGGCGCGAUGAGCAGAGCUCGGGCCCCCUGCCAUGGCGGCCGUCGCGGUGGGGGUGCCAAACUACGACGACUUGAGGGACGGGGAGCAGUAGGGGCGGGGAGGGGAGCUGGAGCUCACCGCGUAUCUAAAGGAGGCGACGGUGAGGCCGGUGGUUGACCGAAGUAGUGGUACUCGACGGCGGACGACGACGAGGUCCGUGAUGAAGACGAUGGCGCUGGAGAGUGUACGGGCCGCCCGACUUGUUUCAACGCCCAUGGACGAAGGAGUCGAAGGUGGGGUAGCUCCUGGACAACCCGGUGCGACGAGGAGAGGCCGAUGGCCGCGAGAUCGACGCGGCAGCGACGACCAGAUCUCGGGCACGAGUCAACCUUCGAGAGAGAGAGAGAGCAAGCGAGGGGAUAAGUGAGGAUUAGGGUUUUACUACGCGGUCGAGAGUGGCCUUAACUGUCUCCAGGUUGCCUCGGAUGGUCGACACGAGCAACAUCCGAGCGUGGACGGGCGGCCGAC